rnacentral:tRNA from 1 species
GGCUCUGUAGUGAAGUUCAUAUUGAGUUGCAAGCUCAUUGAUGCACAUUAGAUGUGUGCCGGGGCCU